AUACGUGGUUGACACUCUCUAGUUGUGUACAUAUGUCAUGCCAAUAAAAAAAAAAAAAAAAAAAAAAAAAAAAAAAAAAGAUUCUUUCGCCUUUUACUAAAGAAUUCCGUGGAGAGGAGCAGUUCAAUGAGUCUUGAACAUUUUUCGAUAUCCGACUUUGGUCGGUUU
rfam:Ciona savignyi cont_22028, whole genome shotgun sequence.